rnacentral:rRNA from 1 species
GUGUCAGCAGCCGCGGUAAUACGGAGGGUGCGAGCGUUAAUCGGAAUUACUGGGCGUAAAGCGCAUGCAGGUGGUGGAUUAAGUCAGAUGUGAAAGCCCGGGGCUCAACCUCGGAACCGCAUUUGAUACUGGCAAGCUUGAGUCUCGUAGAGGGGGGUAGAAUUCCAGGUGUAGCGGUGAAAUGCGUAGAGAUCUGGAGGAAUACCGGUGGCGAAGGCGGCCCCCCUGGACAAAGACUGACGCUCAGGUGCGAAAGCGUGGGGAGCAAACAGGAUUAGAAACCCUUGUAGUUC